rnacentral:rRNA from 1 species
GAUGAACGCUGGCGGCGUGCCUAAUACAUGCAAGUCGAGCGAACGGACGAGAAGCUUGCUUCUCUGAUGUUAGCGGCGGACGGGUGAGUAACACGUGGAUAACCUACCUAUAAGACUGGGAUAACUUCGGGAAACCGGAGCUAAUACCGGAUAAUAUUUUGAACCGCAUGGUUCAAAAGUGAAAGACGGUCUUGCUGUCACUUAUAGAUGGAUCCGCGCUGCAUUAGCUAGUUGGUAAGGUAACGGCUUACCAAGGCAACGAUGCAUAGCCGACCUGAGAGGGUGAUCGGCCACACUGGAACUGAGACACGGUCCAGACUCCUACGGGAGGCAGCAGUAGGGAAGCUUACGCAAUGGGCGAAAGCCUGACGGAGCAACGCCGCGUGAGUGAUGAAGGUCUUAGGAUCGUAAAACUCUGUUAUUAGGGAAGAACAUAUGUGUAAGUAACUGUGCACAUCUUGACGGUACCUAAUCAGAAAGCCACGGCUAACUACGUG